UUUCCGUAGGUGAACCUGCGGAAGGAUCAUUAUCGUAAAACCGAGGUGCGAGGGCUGUCGCUGACCUUUUCGGUCGUGCACGCCCGAGCGCUCUCACACAAUCCAUCUCACCCCCUGUGCACCACCGCGUGGGUCCCUUUCUGGCUCGUCCGGAGGGGGCUCGCGUUUUCACACAAACUUGAAGUAGUGUAGAAUGUCCUUUUUUUGCGAUAACACGCAAUCAAUACAACUUUCAACAACGGAUCUCUUGGCUCUC
rnacentral:misc_RNA from 1 species